CCUACGGGGGGCUGCAGUGAGGAAUAUUGGUCAAUGGACGGAAGUCUGAACCAGCCAUGCCGCGUGCAGGAAGACGGCCCUAUGAGUUGUAAACUGCUUUUGUACAAGGGUAAACCUGAAUACGUGUAUUCAGCUGAAAGUAUCGUACGAAUAAGGAUCGGCUAACUCCGGGCCAGCAGCCGCGGUAAUACGGAGGAUGCACGCGUUAUCCGGAUUUAUUGGGUUUAAAGGGUGCGUAGGCGGUCGGAUAAGUUAGAUGUGAAAUCCCGAGGCUCAACCUCGGAAUUGCAUUUGAUACUGUACGGCUAGAGAGUAGUUGCGGUAGGCGGAAUGCAUGGUGUAGCGGUGAAAUGCUUAGAUAUCAUGCAGAACACCGAUUGCGAAGGCAGCUUACCGGGGUACUACUGACGUUGAGGCACGAAAGCGUGGGGAGCAAACAGGAUUAGAUACCCUUGUAGUC
rnacentral:rRNA from 1 species